GCUGGGCGUGGUGGCGCGUGCCUGUAGUCCCAGCUACUCGGGAGGCUGAGGCAGGAGAAUUGCUUGAACCCGGGAGGUGGAGGUUGCAGUGAGCCAAGGUCGCACCACCGCACUCCAGCCUGGGUGACAGAGUGAGACUCUGUCUCAA
ensembl:misc_RNA Metazoa_SRP Metazoan signal recognition particle RNA